rnacentral:rRNA from 1 species
GUCGGAUCCGUUGACGGGCCGUUCUUUCGAGGGGCCUGUUGGCGACCGGCGAUGUUACCUUGAACAAAUUAGAGUGCUUAAAGCAGGCUAUGUCUGCCUGAAUACAUAUUCAUGGAAUUGGAGAAUACGUCCCUGACUCAAUUUGGUUGGUUUUGUGAGUCGAAGGGAAAUGAUUAAUAGGGACUGACGGAGGCAUUCGUAUUGCAGCGCGAGGGGUGAAAUCCUAUGACCGUUGCACGACGAACUACUGCGAAAGCAUUUGCCGAGAAUGUUUUCAUUAGUCAAGAACGAAAGUUAGAGGUUCGAAGGCGAUCAGAUACCGCCCUAGUUCUAACCGUAAACGAUGUCAACCAGCAAUCCGCAAUGGUCCUUCAUUAGACUGUGCGGGCAGCUCUCCCGGAGAAAUCAGAGUUUUCAGACUCCGGGGAGAGUACGGUUACAAAACAGAAAUUUAAAGGAAUUGACGGAAGGGCACCACCAGGAGUGGAGCUUGCGGCUUAAUUUGACUCAACACGGGACAACUCACCAGGCCCGGACACUGUAAGGAUUGACAGAUUGAGAGCUCUCUCAUGAUUCAGUGGGUGGUGGUGCAUGGCCGUUCUUAGUUGGUGGAGUGAUUUGUCUGGUUUAUUCCGAUAACGAACGAGACUCUGGCCUACUAAACUAGACGUCGUUCGUACUUUAUUGUACGUCGACUUGCUUCUUAGAGGGAUUAUCGGCAUUUCAGUCGAACGAAAGAGAGCAAUAACAGGUCUGUGAUGCCCUUAGAUGUUCUGGGCUGCCCGCGUGUUACACUGAAGUGGUCAACGCGUUACGUAUUUGUCCCUCUCCGAGAGGAGCGGGCAAACGUAUGAACCCAUUUCGUGAUGGGGAUUGAGGGUUGCAAUUGUCCCUCAUGAACGAGGAAUUCCAAGUAAGCACAGGUCACUAGCCUGUGUUGAUUAAGUCCCUGCCCUUUGUAC